rnacentral:rRNA from 1 species
GGCCCAGAUUCCUACGGGAGGCAGCAGUGGGGAAUAUUGCACAAUGGGCGCAAGCCUGAUGCAGCAACGCCGCGUGAGGGACGACGGCCUUCGGGUUGUAAACUCUUUUAGCAGGGAAGAAGCGAAAGUGACGGUACCUGCAGAAAAAGCACCGGCUAACUACGUGCCAGCAGCCGCGGUAAUACGUAGGGUGCAAGCGUUAUCCGGAAUUAUUGGGCGUAAAGAGCUCGUAGGCGGUUUGUCGCGUCUGCUGUGAAAACUGGAGGCUCAACCUCCAGCCUGCAGUGGGUACGGGCAGACUAGAGUGCGGUAGGGGAGAUUGGAAUUCCUGGUGUAGCGGUGGAAUGCGCAGAUAUCAGGAGGAACACCGAUGGCGAAGGCAGAUCUCUGGGCCGUAACUGACGCUGAGGAGCGAAAGGGUGGGGAGCAAACAGGCUUAGAUACCCUGGUAGUCCACCCCGUAAACGUUGGGAACUAGUUGUGGGGUCCAUUCCACGGAUUCCGUGACGCAGCUAACGCAUUAAGUUCCCCGCCUGGGGAGUACGGCCGCAAGGCUAAAACUCAAAGGAAUUGACGGGGACCCGCACAAGCGGCGGAGCAUGCGGAUUAAUUCGAUGCAACGCGAAGAACCUUACCAAGGCUUGACAUAUACGAGAACGGGCCAGAAAUGGUCAACUCUUUGGACACUCGUAAACAGGUGGUGCAUGGUUGUCGUCAGCUCGUGUCGUGAGAUGUUGGGUUAAGUCCCGCAACGAGCGCAACCCUCGUUCUAUGUUGCCAGCACGUAAUGGUGGGAACUCAUGGGAUACUGCCGGGGUCAACUCGGAGGAAGGUGGGGAUGACGUCAAAUCAUCAUGCCCCUUAUGUCUUGGGCUUCACGCAUGCUACAAUGGCCGGUACAAAGGGCUGCAAUACCGUAAGGUGGAGCGAAUCCCAAAAAGCCGGUCCCAGUUCGGAUUGAGGUCUGCAACUCGACCUCAUGAAGUCGGAGUCGCUAGUAAUCGCAGAUCAGCAACGCUGCGGUGAAUACGUUCCCGGGUCUUGUACACACCGCCCGUCAAGUCAUGAAAGUCGGUAACACCUGAAGCCGGUGGCCCAACCCUUGUGGAGGGAGCCGUCGAAG